ensembl:lncRNA
GUUUAUCUGUGCUUUUGGUUCAUCUUCACAGUUCACAGUGGAAAUAAAGAAUGUCUCACCUAAUUCCGGAUCUUCCACGACAUUCACCGAUCUUCCUCUCUGUUUCUCUUUUCGUUUCGAAAAACACUGUUUGGCAAAGUGAUUAUUGCCUUGGCAGUUGCUGCACUGCUUGCCGAAAGCAGGGCAUUCUCUGGGCUUAUGCUGUGUGCCGCACCGUUUGCACUGAAACUGUCCCGUUUUCUGUCCACUGGAAUGUCCUCGACGUGCAUUGUGGUGCUUAGAAAUGGCGCCAACAUCUGCCAUCUCUCGCAGGUUAGCAUUGCUAGUCGCUGCUUCACUGAACGUUCGCACAUGCUUUUUGCUUAGCUCGCUAGCCUGGGCUAUUUUCACCGCUCCAUCUAGCUUUAGGUCAGUCUCCCUUAUCAGUCUUUCCCUAACCUUCUUGUCAUCAAUUCCGAAUACGAUCUGGUCCUUUAUCAUCGAAUCUUUGAGGGUUCCAAAAUUGCAUGAUUGUGCUUUUAUCUUCAAGUCUGUGACGAAGCCGUCAACACUCUCCCCUGGCUGCUGCAGCCUUGAACGGAAUACGUAUCUCUCGUACGUCUCGUUUUUUUUUUGUGAACAAUACGCUUCGAACUUGGCUAGCACAGUAUUAAACUUGGAUUGGUCUUCCCCAUCCUCAUAUACGAAGGUGUUGUAUACUUCAAUGGCUUGUGGCCCAGCUAUACUUUAGGUGUCCGGGAGGUCUCAUCAAGUUCUCCAUCGUCGAAUUUGUAGGCGACUGUCCGCUUUUCCAGAACCGAAACUCACUCACUUCACGUCUUUUACUCCUGUAGGACCGCUACCGACACCUUGUGGCAACAUGUGGAACUACAGAUAUCACCACA